rnacentral:misc_RNA from 1 species
UUUCCGUAGGUGAACCUGCGGAAGGAUCAUUCAUAAUAAAGUGUUUUAUGGCACUUUUUAAAAAUCCAUAUCCACCUUGUGUGCAAUGUUAGAUCUCGUCAAUCUUGGCGAGAUUUUUAUACAUCAACUCAUUCUUUAACUAAUUUGUCUGAAAAAUAUUACGAAUACUUAAUUCAAAAUACAACUUUCAACAACGGAUCUCUUGGCUCUC